GAAACCUUCAGUAGUUAAAAGCAAAAUUGCAUAAAAUGAAAACACUUUCUUUCAGCAGCUAGGAAGACAUCUCAGUUAAUGAAGCUGCCAAGUUGUAAAUAACUACUGGCGAUUUCAGGUACCUGUCCAGAAGGGAAGAAGAACUAUAUUCCCCAGGGGCCUUUGCAGUCAGAGGGGAGAUAUAACUCCUGGCAAGAUGUACAGUGGUGCCCUUUGCUACGAUAUGUAUUCUGACAGCUCAUUAAGAAGAGAACAUGACAAACAACUUGAUGAAAUACUGUUUAUAAUCUAUGAAGAGAUAACAGCCUUGACAAAUGAAAUAAAAUAAAUCAAUCAAGGGAAGCACUUUGAACAUUUGUAACAGUGGGUAACUACCUUAAAAGUUGAAUAAAAUUAUUUGAGCCAUGUAUAAACACAUUGUAAAGGAAUACAGCCUCCAAUUCAAUAAACCAUCUACGAUUUGCUAUUAGUUGAGAAUUUAAUCCCUUUGUACUACAUGCUCUUGAAAUCACAGGGAUAUAACAAUUAUUCUGCAGCAUCUGUCUUUUCAUAAUAUAGCAUUGAUGUGUAUGAUGCUUGACUUUGAUAGCCCUGGCUAUCCUCUAUGGGCCUUAAUUCUGUUCAUUUAAAUGGAGUAACAUCAUCAAAAUAGCAAAAUAACUUUGCAAAUCACCUUCAGAUGUAGAGUACUGUCAGUACUGCCUAUGUUCCUCAGAGAUAUUGGUCCAGUUAACAGAUUUCGUGAAAAGCUAAAGUACUGAUUUAAGAAACAAAGAGGAGCAUUUAGAUAGCAUUUUUCUGGCCCAAAUUCAGAUAUCUGAAAAUUUGUUUUUUUAAUUCUGUUGCCCACAUAUAUUCAACCAGAAGUAGCUAUUCCUUCAGAAAAGUUUUAACACCAGUUGAGUAGGCCUGUGAAUAGCUAAUGUAAGUUAUCUGGAUUAAUUUUGUGUUAGUUAUCCUAAACUCCUUUUAGAAUAACAAGGAGAAAUAAAGACUCCAUAUAACACACAGUUUAAUCUCUAGCCUAAAACCUGAUGUAUUUUUUUCUGGAGGUUAUCAACCUAAUUGUAAAUAUGACUUAGGUCAGCUUAGGUCUAUCAGUUUUGUCACUGUGACCCAAAAUGAAACUGACAGUGAAUAUCUGAAAAUUUAGAGUCAAGAAAGAGGAAUCCUGCCUGCCCCAGGACUACGUUAAUUCUGAAGGGAGAAUUAACUCAAUAGAUUGUUUAAGCCUUUUUGAUGAUGAUGAGAACUAUUUUAGUGUUUCUUAGCAUAAUAAUGAUAAUAAUACAAUGAUGAAAGAGGAAGCUAUGUGCUUUCACAUCUAAGGUAGGAACAUUUCUUAUCUGUUUCUUUAAAUUUUAUAUCACUUAUGUCAACUUAGUCUUUCUUCUUGUACUUUAGAAAGACUUAGUUGUCGUAAUAUGUUAAUACCAUAAAAAAACAAUUUUGCAUGGCUAGAGGGAAACAGCAAAUAAUCAGAGAAUUCCCUGACAAUGAAAGAAUAUUCUUCAGUUCAAUGUUAAAAUUUCAUGGUGCAUUCAGUGAAUCACAGCAAACUGCCAAAACUAAUUAAUCUGAAGAUGAACAAAUUUUCUGCAGGUUGUGAAACUUGCACCAGAACUGUAUACUUGAUUGUCAUGUUGACUAUGUUAAUAUUUUACCUUCAUAGUAUUUGCAGUUUUUUGGGUUUUUUAUUGUUUUUUUUUUUUUGGUUUUUUUUUUUCCUAAAUCUAUCACAAUUGUUACCUUUUAGUGUCAUGAACUUUAACAUGUAGAUGUUAAUUACUUUAAAGGCAUCCAGAUAUACAGAGACAAAAAUAAUAAGGGAAGACCAAUUUCAAUUUCAUUUAAUCAUUACAAAGGAUUUGCUUUACAAGUGAAAGUAUGUAAUGGUCUAUUUUAUCCUCUUAACUGUAAAACUCUAGUGUUAAAUCUGGUCAGGAGAACAGUUGUAUCCCGACUGAAAAUACUACUACCAUAUCAAUACUGAUUUAAUGUAAAGAGCUAAAAGCAGAAGGCUUGUAUGUGGUAAAGGAUAGAGAGUAGACAAGGACUAGGCAGGGUUUUCUAAGUGUCAUUAGUAGAGGAAAUAAAAGUUCCACUUAGUGAGAAAAACACAAACAAUGCAGAAAAGAUAAUUAGGACAGAGGAUAAAACUUGCAGUGGAGUAAUUGUGAAGAGGUUCCAUCAAAUUGAGAUAAAAUAUGAUGAACAAAACACUAUCUUCAUGAAUCUUUGGGCAUGUCUCUUCUGUACAGUGGAACACUGAAUAUAUCCAUUUUCAUUUAUGAUGAAGAUUUAGUAGAUUUGACAAUCAACUUCUGUCCAUGGCACCAGAGGACUGUAAUAUUUUGGACACUGAAAUACUAUAUUUGAUUUCUUACAAUAUUCUAUUAAUGAAAUUUUUCUUUUGAACAAAUCUUAGUGUGCGCCUCAGUGUUCAUAAAAUGCUAUCAACAUUUGCAGUUCUUUGUGUAAGCUUAUGUACAUAGGAAAGUGCAUAGUGUUGUACAAAUAAUUAAAUCACACAACUAAUAAAGGUUCGAUAUAAUUAAGUAUCUUCAUAGUGAUAAUAGUGAUGAAGGACUUCUAGGUGAUAUGAAAUUUAUGUGUUGUAUAAUUUGUGGUUUGUUUCCUACUUUUCUUGUGUCAUACUGACAUUUACAAAGUGUGUUUCUUUAAUUGUUGUUUGUUUGUUUGUUUGUUUGUUUAAUAAGUUUUGAUGAAUGUGACCUGUUAGGAAAUCAGAACCAUCUCAUUGUAUAAAAUGAGCUGUCUCCAGCACGGUAUCAGACUGCUUAAAAGAAAAGCCAUGAACAUGCAACGUCACUAGCAUACUUACUGUUGACACGAAUCAAUGAAGAGACUAUUUGAAUGUGCCUGAUAGUUUAGUUUAGAAAGCUGUCUGAUAUAUUUAUGUGUCAAGAUGCUUUCUACCUGUGCCUUAGCAGCUUUAACUACAAACUCAUUAUCUGUACAAAUUUUUAAGACAGAUGACCAAUAAAAAGGUUAACAUCACAUGAUAGGUGAAAAAUACUCAAAAUGUCUCUAAGGGAAGAUUUAUAAUGAGUUUUUCUUUUCUCUCUGAAACUUUGUAAAUGAUUUAGACAGAAAGGAGUGUCUGUCAUCUGACUAGAAAUGAAACUGGACAUUCAAGGCAGAAAAAGGAAAUUUGUAUAAUUAUGUCUCCAUUAUGACA